ensembl:miRNA MIR193B microRNA 193b
CAGAAUCGGGGUUUUGAGGGCGAGAUGAGUUUAUGUUUUAUCCAACUGGCCCACAAAGUCCCGCUUUUG